rnacentral:lncRNA from 10 species
AAAAACAAAAAACAAUUGAAUUUACAUUUCUCUAAUUAUCAGCAGCAGAAAUGAAAGAAUAUCUAUUCUCUCCUUUGUGAAUAGGAUGUGAACUCUUCUGAGAUCACACAAACGGGUUUCGAUGCUCUGAGAGUCACACAGGCUGGGUGUAGGCAUACUUGGGAUAACAGACUGGGAUGUGAACCCCAUGAGUCACACAGACUGCAGUUUGGAAAUGCUGGGGUCAGACAGACUAGGUAUAGAUACUCAUAUCGACUGUGAUAUGAACACUUCUGGGGUCACACAGACAGGAAUUUGGACACUUAUGGGUCACACAGAUUGGAGUGUGAACUUACGGGUUCAGGGACCAGGAUGCCAACAAUCCUCAGGCCACAGAGACUAGAAUGUGGACACUCCUGGCCACAUACAUACUGGGACAUGACUACUUCUGGUGUCACACAGAGCAGGGUGCAGAAACUCCUGGGGUCACACAGUGUCAGGUAUAGAUCACAGGAGUGUCCAUACGCCAGUCUGUGACUCCACUAGAACUCACAUUUAUUUCUGUGAACACUUAUGUCCACACUGCAGUCUCUCACCCCAUUAUAUCCUGACUGCAGUCUGCAUUUCCUUAAUAGUGACCACUCUGAAGUCCUUAUAAGUCCAGUAAUUUAAUCUUCUAUAUUUGAGUUCAGAUCUGAAGGCCACUAAUGCUGAAGUAUUUGCCAUAAGCCCAGGUUUAAAGUGUAACCGAAGAGGCAUGGAUAUAGAGACACUUAACAAUUGUCCAGUUGGGUGCAGUGAGGCUCUUGAUGGUAAAGUAGUUGACAAACACACAGGUUCAAAGUCAGACAAAGGGCAGGGAACAGUUAAUCGAAGCCUCGAUUUGAGGCAAGACCAGAGUGGAAUUGAUAGUGGAAUGAUUGACAGAGCUUCAGAUCUGAUGUGAAACCAGUGAUGCUGAACAAGUUAACCGAGGCCCAAAUGUGACUGAUAACACUAUUUUUAUUCUUUCUUCAUUAUUUAUUCCCCCUUAGGUGGUGAGUCAAGAAAAGUGCCACCAAGAUGAGUUUAAAGUAGAAUGUCAAAUCUGCCACCUCAAAAUUUCACAAGGAGGAAACCCCCAAAAUCAUGCACAACAAUAUUCACAAUCAAUCAUCUUGAAUCCAGACUCAAUAGACAAUGUGAAGAGUGUAAACAAAAGAAGAAAGUGUUAGCGAAAAAGGAGGUUCCUCAAAAUUAUCCUGCCAUCCACAGACCUUGGUAGAAACUGGGCAUCUGUGUGGUGUUGCACACUGUGCAGAAAAACAGUAACAGAGCAGGCCUCAACUGCGAUCCUUGGAAAGGCCUGCUUCAAGGUUGGCCCUUGGGUGGUGUCUAAGAACAUAGACUCCAGGAGGGUUCCCACCAUUCCCUAAGAGAUAAGAAUGGCUCACUCGGGCCGGGUGUGGUGGCUCACACCUGUAACGCCAGCACUUUGGUAGGCCAAGGUGAGAGGAUCACUUGAGCCCAGGAGUUCAAGGCCAGCCUGGGCAACAUGGCAAAACCCAUCUCUGCAAAAAUCAGCUGGGGUCAUGGUGGUGCAUGUCUGUGGUCCCAGCUACUUUGGAGGAUGAGGCAGCAGGACCGCUUGAGCCUGGGAGGUUGAGGCUGCAGCGAACCAUGUUUGAGCCACUGCACUCCAGCCUGGGCAACAAAGUGAGACCCUGUCUCAAAAAAAAAAAAAAAGAAAGAAAGAAAAAAAAGAAUGGCUUACUCUACCUAAGCUGUUUGUAUAAAAAAGUGGGCCAGGAGCGGUGGCUCAUGCCUGUAAUCCCAGCACUUUGGGAGGUCGAGGCAGGCGGAUCACAAGGUCAAGAGAUGGAGACCAGCCUGGCCAAUAUGGUGAAACCCCGUCUCUACUAAAAAUACAAAAAUUAGCUGGGCGUGGUGGUGGCAGGCGCCUGUAGUCCCAGCUAUUCAGGAAGCUGAGGCAGGAGAAUUGCUUGAACCCAGGAGGCGGAGGUUACAGUAAGCCGAGAUCACGCCACUGCACUCCAGCCUGGCGACAAAGCGAGACUCCGUCUCAAUUAAAAAAAAAAAAAAAAAGGUGGUUUAUGCUGAGCCCCUGCUUUCCUUUUGGGAGCCUGGGAUUUGGGUAGGUGCCAGGCAGGGGGUGCCUAUGUGACCAUGCCCCAAUAAAAACUUGAUACCAGCCAGGUGCUCACGCCUGUAAUCCCAGCAGUUUGGGAGGCUGAGGUGGGAGGAUCACUUGAGGUCAGGAGUUCAAGAUCAGCCUGGCCAACAUGGUGAAACCCCAUCCCUACUAAAAAUACAAAAAUUAGCCGAGCUUGCUGGUGCGCGCCUGUAGUUCCAGCUAUUCGGGAAGCUGAGGCCCGAGGAUCGCUUGAACCCAGGAGGUGGAGGCUGCAGUGAGCCAAGAUCAUGCCACUGCAUUCCAGCCUGGGCGUCAGAGCAAGACCCCCCCCCCCCCGCCAAAAAAAAACCAAAACAACAACAACAACAAAAAAAACCUCUGGGUGCUGAGUCUCUAAUUGAGCUUCCUUGGUCAGCAACAUUUCGCAUGUAUUGUCACAACCCAUUACUGUGAACCGAGCACAUCUUGUGUGACUCCAAUGAGAGAGAAGCCCUGGAAACUUGUGCCUGGGUCUCUCUGGGAGUUGGUCCUGCACACCAUUUCUUUUUGCUGAUUUUGCUCCAUAUCUUUUUGUUGUAAUAAGUCAAUCGUAGCCAUGAAUACAACCACAUACUGAGUCUUGGGAGUCCUCCUAGCAAAUCACUGGGCUUGGGGCUGGUAUUGAGGACCAUGACACACACACACAUACAUGACCUUUACCAUGGGAACAAUCCAGCUCACUGAUGUCCCUAUCUCACCACCAUGUACCCUGAGGUCUAUUAGAUGGAAGUGCCAGUUAGAAAUGCUUGGGGUGCAAGUAACCACACUGUCAAAUAACUGGACUGAACAAACGGGAGAUUAUUUCCCUCCAACAAGACUGUUGGUGCGAGUUCAGCAGCUCAGCAAUGCUGGGCCAAGCUGGAGUCUCUACCACGCUGUGGACUGACCCUAAGGUCCCAAGAUGUCAGUCGCAGUUCCAGUCAACGCAUAUGUGGCAACAAAUGGAGCUGAGAAGGAAGGGAGGGGCCGGAGCAAGAGCCUCUUUGCUGCUUCAGGUAACUUUGACAUUUUCUGGUGACGCAGGCCACUGAUAAGUGAUUUUGGUUAUUUACCCCCAUCAAUACUCAAAGCUUUUUCUCCUCUCUUGGGGCUCCCCUCAAAUACUUAACAUCACUUUUUGGUCUCUGAGCUGUUCCAGGGCUGGAAUUUGUACCCUGGAUGGGGCUGGGAGGAGACAGGGGUGGUCUGAGGGAUGGAGAUUCCGCCACACAGCAGGAGGCCCCAGGUCAGCCUUAACUUCCCGUUGCUCCUGCACCAGCUUGGGGCUCCAGGACUCAACACCUCUGCUCCCUGCUUUUAAUAAACAACACAAUGCACAGAAGGGUUGGGAAUAUCGCCCCCUGAGGAGGCAGCAGAGUCCUGCAGCCUAACAUAGUGAACCCCCUGGGGGUCCGACCCAACAUUCCCCCGCCAACUCCUCCACUGUCACUACCCUGGUGCAAGUCCCCAUCACUGCGCUCAGAGGGGUCUCCUGCUGGGUCCCCUGCUUCUACCCCCACCCCCAAUCUGUCCCCUUCAGCAGCCAGAGGGAGCCUCUAUGACCAAGUCAGAUCAUGUUCCUCCUCUGCUUGACACCUUCUGGUCACCCCCACUCAGAAAAAAAGCCAAAGUCCUAACUGUGGCCCAUGAAGCAUCUGGCCUGUCUGACCUCAUGUACUGUCACACUCUGGUCCAGCAAGACUCUGGCAUACACAAUGAUCCUUCUGGAGCGCUCCAGCCUCAGUGCCUUUAGGCUGGCUUUCUCUCUGCCUGGAAUGUUCUCCCCCUACACUAUGACUCCCACUCACUUCAUUCAGGUCUUUAAAUGUCACCCUGAGCCAGGCGUGGUGGUUCAUGCCUGUAAUCCCAGCACUUUGGGAGGCUGAGGCGAGUGGAUCGCUUGAGCCCAGGAGUUCAAGACCAGCCUGAGCAACAUGGCGAGACCCCGUCUCUACUAAAAAUACAAAAAUUACCCGAGUGUGGUGGCACACACCUGUAGUCCCAGCUACUUGGGAGGCUUAAGUGAGGAUCACUUGAGCCCUGGAGGUUGAGGCUGCAGUGAGCUAUGGUCAUGCCACUGCAUUCCAACCUGGGUGACAGAGUGAGACCCUGUCUCAAAAACAAAAAAGUCACCCUGUCAGGAUCAUCUUCCCUGAUGCUGUCACCAUAAAGAGCCCACUCCCCCAACUUCUGCAGCUCUGUCUCCCAUCCUUGCUUUAUUUUCUUCAUACCACUCAUCAUUAGCUGGCCUGUUCCAUGUUUUUAUCUACUGUCUCCGCUAUGAUGCAAGCCCAAUGAAGGCAGGCAUUUCCAUCAGUUUAGGUCAGAGCAGUAUCCCCAGUGCCUAGAACAGUUCCUGGCACACGGUCAGGGCUCACUAAUGUCUAUCGAAUGCAUAAGUGUGUAAAACAGUUAAGGCAGGGCCUGUAACCCAGCAGACAUUCAAUCAAUGCUUGUGGAAUGAAUGAAUCCGUCGAUGCAUGAAUGCACAAAUGAGUCAAUGAACCCCGUUCCACCGUGUUCCUGGAGCUGCCCGCUGCCCUCUGCCCUGUCCGUCCCCGGCAGAGCUGGGAGCCGGCC